rnacentral:misc_RNA from 1 species
UCGCGGCUUAUCACCGGCAGUCCCCCUAGAGUGCCCAACUGAAUGAUGGCAACUAAGGGCGAGGGUUGCGCUCGUUGCGGGACUUAACCCAACAUCUCACGACAUGAGCUGACGACAGCCAUGCAGCACCUGUGCAGGAUCUCCGAAGAGGGGCUCUCGUUUCCGGUUCUUACAACUAGCAUGUCAAGCCUGGGUAAGGUUCUUCGCGUUGCGUCGAAUUAAACCACAUGCACCACCGCUUGUGCGGGCCCCCGUCAAUUCCUUUGAGUUUCAACCUUGCGGCCGUACUCCCCAGGCGGGGUACUUACUCCGUUAGGUGCGGCACCGGCGGUAACCCGCCGACACUUAGUACCCAUCGUUUAGGGCGUGGACUAC